rnacentral:rRNA from 1 species
ACUGCUCAGUAACACGUGGACAACCUGCCCUUAGGUUGGGUAUAACCCGGGAAACUGGGUAUAAUACCCGAUAGGUCUCGAUUGCUGGAAUGCAUCGAGAUUUAAAGCUCCGGCGCCUAAGGAUGGGUCUGCGGCCUAUCAGGUAGUAGUGGGUGUAGCGUACCUACUAGCCUACGACGGGUACGGGUUGUGAGAGCAAGAGCCCGGAGAUGGAUUCUGAGACACGAAUCCAGGCCCUACGGGGUGCAGCAGGCGCGAAAACUUUACAAUGCUGGCAACAGCGAUAAGGGAACCUCGAGUGCCAGGUUACAAAUCUGGCUGUCGAGAUGCCUAAAAAGCAUUUCAUAGCAAGGGCCGGGCAAGACCGGUGCCAGCCGCCGCGGUAACACCGGCGGCUCGAGUGGUAACCGUUAUUAUUGGGUCUAAAGGGUCUGUAGCCGGCCGGAUAAGUCUCUUGAGAAAUCUGGCAGCUUAACUGUCAGGCUUUCAGGAGAUACUGUCUGGCUCGAGGCCGGGAGAGGUGAGAGGUACUUCAGGGGUAGGGGUGAAAUCUUGUAAUCCUUGAAGGACCACCAGUGGCGAAGGCGUCUCACCAGAACGGACCUGACGGCAAGGGACGAAAGCUAGGGGCACGAACCGGAUUAGAUACCCGGGUAGUCCUAGCCGUAAACGAUACUCGCUAGGUGUCGGCCACGGUGCGACCGUUGUCGGUGCCGUAGGGAAGCCGUGAAGCGAGCCACCUGGGAAGUACGGCCGCAAGGCUGAAACUUAAAGGAAUUGGCGGGGGAGCAC